GAUGAACGCUGGCGGCGUGCUUAACACAUGCAAGUCGAACGAUGAAGCCCAGCUUGCUGGGUGGAUUAGUGGCGAACGGGUGAGUAACACGUGAGUAACCUGCCCUUAACUCUGGGAUAAGCCUGGGAAACUGGGUCUAAUACCGGAUAGGUGCGUCCACCGCAUGGUGGGUGUUGGAAAGAUUUAUCGGUUUUGGAUGGACUCGCGGCCUAUCAGCUUGUUGGUGAGGUAAUGGCUCACCAAGGCGACGACGGGUAGCCGGCCUGAGAGGGUGACCGGCCACACUGGGACUGAGACACGGCCCAGACUCCUACGGGAGGCAGCAGUGGGGAAUAUUGCACAAUGGGCGAAAGCCUGAUGCAGCGACGCCGCGUGAGGGAUGACGGCCUUCGGGUUGUAAACCUCUUUCAGUAGGGAAGAAGCGAAAGUGACGGUACCUGCAGAAGAAGCACCGGCUAACUACGUG
rnacentral:rRNA from 1 species